GAACGUGUGAGUGAACACGUGGUGUAAUCUGCCCUCGGCACCGGAAUAGCCCGGGGAAACCCGGAUUAAUGCCGGAUGGCUCCUCUGCCCUACGGGGCGGCGAGAAAAGGUAGCUUCGGCCUCCGGCCGGAGGAUGAGCCCUGCGGCCAGAUUAGCUUGUUGGUGAGGUAACGGCUCACCAAGGCGACGAUCGGUAGCUGGUCUGAGAGGACGAUCAGCCACACUGGGACUGAGACACGGUCCAACUCAUACGGGAGGCAGCAGUGGGGAAUCUUGCGCAAUGGGCGAAAGCCUGACGCAGCGACGCCGCGUGCGGGAAGAAGGCCUUCGGGUUGUAAACCGCUUUCAGGAGGGACGAAGCCACUCGGGUUAAUAGCCUAGAGGGUGACGGUACCUCCAGAAGAAGCCCCGGCUAACUACGUGCCAGCCGCCGCGG
rnacentral:rRNA from 1 species